AAGAAUACUGCUAUCUUGCUACUGGCUGAAGCUACAAGUGCAGUAGACAUCCUAUACACCCACAGUGUUAGGCGACAUGAGAGGCGACUCGGGUGGCCACUCUAACGGCAGCUCCCUCCGGUGAUCUCUCCCCGGGAUCUUCCUUCCUCAUCGUUCUGAUUUUCUAUCAUUGGAGCUUCUCCAUGGAUCAACAAUGCUCCUCCCUACUGGAUCUCCAACCGAAUCCAGUUAACAAGAUGGAUUUCUCUCCGGGACACGCUUUCUAGAAAUAGGUUCUGGAAUCUUUUGGUAAAUCAGUCCAUCACCGCUCC
rnacentral:lncRNA from 1 species